GGAUGUGAGGGCGAUUUGGCUGCAACAUCUGUCACCCCAUGGGCUGCCAGGGUUGAUGAGGCUGAUCUGGCUGGCUAGGCGGGUGCCCCCUUCCUCCCUCAUCGCUCAUGUGCGUCCCUCACGAGGCUGCGCACUGGGUGGGGGAGGAACUUUCUCCGAUAGAGGAGGACCAUUCUUCCGUCAAGGGUAUGCAAGUAGCUGUGCUCCCAUUAGAACCUCCAAACAAGCUCUCAAGACCCAGCAUCACCAGGGGCCUCUCAUUUUCCAAGACGAGGUCCAUUUUGCAUUACUUUGAACUU
rnacentral:snRNA from 1 species